rnacentral:rRNA from 1 species
AUUGAACGCUGGCGGCAGGCCUAACACAUGCAAGUCGAACGGUAGCACAGAGGAGCUUGCUCCUUGGGUGACGAGUGGCGGACGGGUGAGUAAUGUCUGGGAAACUGCCCGAUGGAGGGGGAUAACUACUGGAAACGGUAGCUAAUACCGCAUAACGUCGCAAGACCAAAGAGGGGGACCUUCGGGCCUCUUGCCAUCGGAUGUGCCCAGAUGGGAUUAGCUAGUAGGUGGGGUAACGGCUCACCUAGGCGACGAUCCCUAGCUGGUCUGAGAGGAUGACCAGCCACACUGGAGCUGAGACACGGUCCAGACUCCUACGGGAGGCAGCAGUGGGGAAUAUUGCACAAUGGGCGCAAGCCUGAUGCAGCCAUGCCGCGUGUAUGAAGAAGGCCUUCGGGUUGUAAAGUACUUUCAGCGAGGAGGAAGGCAUUAAGGUUAAUAACCUUGGUGAUUGACGUUACUCGCAGAAGAAGCACCGGCUAACUCCGUGCCAGCCGCCGCUGUAA